GCAUUCCAAACUGCCAUGCUCUCUAUACCACUGGUUGAUACAGCAAAAGGGAGUAUGUCUUCCUCGGAGGAGUAAAGUGUUAAUUGAACACUAAACCUGAGAAAAUGAGACUUUGUCUUCAGAAGCUGAGAACUUCCAUUUUUGCCUUUAUGACCUUUGUGUGCUCACUGGUUGGUAUAAUUAUGAGGGUAUUUCUGGGUGCUUUUUGUACAAUUUACUCCCCUUCCCCAAACAAUUGAAGAACAAUUUGUAGACCAUAAUAGUUGUAGCACUUUCUAUGGUGGUGUUAUAAAAGGAAAAUGCAUCUUUUUUUAUUAAUUUAAUCUUGAUGAGUAAAUUGUUUUAUUUAGAAUGAAGUAAUCUCAAAAUAACAAAUACUCCACAUAAGAACAGUAAUAAGCUAUAAUAGAUUCUUUCAACAGCUAAUGUUUGCCUACAACAUGUUGUAUUCUGUCCUAGGCACUGAGGGUAUAGCUGUGUAAGCACCCCCCCCCCCCCCGUUAUAGAGCUUUUAGUGGAGGCGACUGUACAGUAUGCCAAGUGAUAACACUGUAAAGCACUUAGCAGGGUGUAAGGACUACUGUGACUGGAGAUGGGUGCUAUUGUAUGUAGAGUAGUUAGAAAGUUCCAUCUAAGCUGCCUUCAAAUUCUAUCCUGUUGUUUCUCAUGCCUUGUAUUCAGUACACUCAGAUAUUUUCCUAUGCUUAAGAUCUUCUCCUUUGUUGUAUUUAAUGUCUUUCUCAUCUGUUUCUAAUGCAUGCUGCCUAAAGCCUUGGGUUCUUCAUUCAUCUCAAGUGGUUUUCUUUCUACCCUCCAGUUCCCUUUUCUAUUUUCUAUAAGGUUAUUACAUCUGCCCACAGAAACCAAAACUCUAUAGUGUCUUUAGCAUUACUUCCUAUAUAUCUUAAACACAAUGUGAGGUAGUGUUGUGUGAAACAUUACAUUAAGAGGUACUUAAUAUAGACACAACAUAUGUAUUAUAUCAUGCUGGUGUUUGGUAGCUUUUGCUUUCCUGCUUCUAGUAAAAAUUUAUCUUCAGUUUGAAUUUUCUGCUGUUCAUUAAAUGUAAAAUGUUAUAGGAUUUUCAACAAUCCUUAAAUGUUUAUCAUUCUUUACUCAGUAUGGAUUUCCUGAUGUGGAGUAGACUUUAAGACUUGAUUUAAGAGCCUGUCUCUUGCUAUGUUUAUAGGCUGUCUGGCUGGCUGCUGUGCAUUAUUUGAUGUUAAGGCGCAUAUGGUGACAUCCUCUUACCUUUGCAUACAGUGGAGAGAGGUGAAAGUCAUGACUAAGAGGGCACCAUAAAAGAUACAUUCCCAGCUUCAGUCUCGUGCUCAGUAUUGUGAUGUUCAUUAAAGUAUCAACUGUGUCUGAAGGUGUUCUCAGUGAUCUUCAUGAUGUUUUCAAAACCCACUGCUACUAACAUGGUCCACUUGUACAUUGCUUGACUCCUUGGGCCCUUUUAUAACUCUAUGAGGAUACUUCAUCUGCCACAGUAUCCAGGAUUCCAUAGUUCUCUAGUAUUACUUACCCUGAAUUUAUUUAAUAUAAAAUGAAAUAUAUUAUAGAAGUAUUAUAUCAAUAUAAGCUUAAGAUAGCCAGAAUUAAAAGUAUUCAUUAUGUAUUAUGCCGGCGUUUAGUAGUUUUGUUUUUGCAACUUUUAGUGACAUUUUCCAGCUACAGUGUUUUGGAGCAUAUGAUUAAUAAAAUAAAGUGACAUUCCCCU
rnacentral:lncRNA from 1 species